CAUAAGCCUAAGCUUAAAAUAUGGAUAUAUACAACUUGCAAGGCUCAAAAUUCACCUCCGAAUUUCAGAUUAAAACUAAUUGAAGACUUUUCUCUCUUUCACGUGCCAAUAGAUUAAAAUAAAAAGAAAACUUUGAGACUUCUAUAUGCACGUAACUUCGGCUACGUAACCAAGUCAAAAAUGAUCGAUCACAUAUAUAUGUAUACACACAUUGAUUCAUCUUAUCAUUAUAUUAUUAUUAUUAUUAUUAUUUUCUAUCAAUACAACAUCACAAAAACAAAAGCUAGCAAGCAAAUUACAAUACAAAAGGAUGAGUUUAUGCCCAGGUGAAAAGACUUCUUGGCCAGAGCUUUGGGGAAUAGAAGGGGAGGUUGCGGAGGCAAUAAUAAAGAGGGACAAUCCAAAUGUGGAUGGAAUAAGCCUACCAGUUGGAUCAAUCACCAUUCACGAUUUCAACUGCAACAGGGUCUGGCUUUUUCUCGACUCUAAUGGCUUUGUCGCUACCAUUCCCAAACUUGGUUAAUUAGAUCAUCCACCAUCCAUCACCACUACUUCAUCAUCAUCAUCCAUCGCCAACCAUCCAGUGCCUCGACCUACCAAUUAUACCCUCUUCUUACAGCAUUUGUUUCCUCUUUUAUUUUUUGGUGAACUACAUUAUUUGUUUUUUGUAUUUACAAAAAAAAAAAAAGAAAAAAGAAAAAAGCAUACAAAAAUGUGUAAAAGAUAUAAGAUUUAUUCGUUA